rnacentral:rRNA from 1 species
UACGAAGGGGGCUAGCGUUGCUCGGAAUCACUGGGCGUAAAGGGUGCGUAGGCGGGUCUUUAAGUCAGGGGUGAAAUCCCCCGGCUUAACCUGGGAACUGCGUCUGAUACUGGAGGGCUUGAGUGCGGGAGAGGGAUGUGGAAUUCCAGGUGUAGCGGUGAAAUGCGUAGAUAUCUGGAGGAACACCGGUGGCGAAGGCGGCAUCCUGGACCGACACUGACGCUGAGGCGCGAAAGCUAGGGUAGCAAACGGG